CAUGUCUAAGUACAAGCCAAAUUAAGGUGAAACCGCGAAAGGCUCAUUAAAUCAGUUAUGGUUCCUUAGAUCGUACCACAAAAUUACUUGGAUACCUGUGGUAAUUCUAGAGCUAAUACAUGCUAACAGAGCCCUGACCGGAGACGGAAGGGGCGCUUUUAUUAGAUCAAAACCAAUCGGCGACAGGCCUUUACGGGUUUGUCGUCGUUCAUUUUGGUGAAACUGAAUAACUUAAUGCUGAUCGCACGGUCACGAACCGGCGACAUAUCUUUCAAAUGUCUGACUUAUCAACUGUCGAUGGUAGGUUCUGCGCCUACCAUGGUUGUAACGGGUAACGGGGAAUCAGGGUUCGAUUCCGGAGAGGGAGCCUGAGAAACGGCUACCACAUCCAAGGAAGGCAGCAGGCGCGCAAAUUACCCACUCCCGGCACGGGGAGGUAGUGACGAAAAAUAACGAUACGGGACUCAUCCGAGGCCCCGUAAUCGGAAUGAGUACACUUUAAAUCCUUUAACGAGGAUCAAUUGGAGGGCAAGUCUGGUGCCAGCAGCCGCGGUAAUUCCAGCUCCAAUAGCGUAUAUUAAAGUUGUUGCGGUUAAAAAGCUCGUAGUCGAAUUUGUGUCGCACGCCGCCGGUUCAUCGCUCGCGGUGUCAAUUGGCGUGUCGUGCGACGUCCUGCCGGUGGACUUAGCUUCGGCUUUCGGGUCGAGGCGGUCCAACUAUUACAUCCCGCCGCGGUGCUCUUUACUGAGUGUCGAGGUGGGCCGGCACGUUUACUUUGAACAAAUUAAAGUGCUUAAAGCAGGCUAAAAUUUUGCCUGAAUAUUGUAUGCAUGGAAUAAUGGAAUAGGACCUCGGUUCUAUUUUGUUGGUUUUCGGAACCCCGAGGUAAUGAUUAAUAGGAACGGAUGGGGGCAUUCGUAUUGCGACGUUAGAGGUGAAAUUCUUGGAUCGUCGCAAGACGAACUUAAGCGAAAGCAUUUGCCAAAAACGCUUUCAUUGAUCAAGAACGAAAGUUAGAGGUUCGAAGGCGAUCAGAUACCGCCCUAGUUCUAACCAUAAACGAUGCCAGCUAGCGAUCCGCCGACGUUCCUCCGAUGACUCGGCGGGCAGCUUCCGGGAAACCAAGCUUUUGGGUUCCGGGGGAAGUAUGGUUGCAAAGCUGAAACUUAAAGGAAUUGACGGAAGGGCACCACCAGGAGUGGAGCCUGCGGCUUAAUUUGACUCAACACGGGAAAACUCACCAGGCCCGGACACCGGAAGGAUUGACAGAUUGAGAGCUCUUUCUUGAUUCGGUGGGUGGUGGUGCAUGGCCGUUCUUAGUUGGUGGAGCGAUUUGUCUGGUUAAUUCCGAUAACGAACGAGACUCUAGCCUGCUAAAUAGACGCAUGAUCGACAUCUUAAAGGCCCGUAUCGGUCCGAGGCGGUCCGCCGUCUCGGUCCAGGCGCGGUUUUUACUGUCGGCGUACAAUAAAUUCUUCUUAGAGGGACAGGCGGCUUCUAGCCGCACGAGAUUGAGCAAUAACAGGUCUGUGAUGCCCUUAGAUGUCCUGGGCCGCACGCGCGCUACACUGAAGGAAUCAGCGUGUCUUCCCUGGCCGAGAGGCCCGGGUAACCCGCUGAACCUCCUUCGUGCUAGGGAUUGGGGCUUGCAAUUGUACCCCAUGAACGAGGAAUUCCCAGUAAGUGCGAGUCAUAAGCUGGCGUUGAUUACGUCCCUGCCCUUUGUACACACCGCCCGUCGCUACUACCGAUUGAAUGAUUUAGUGAGGUCUUCGGACAGGUACACGGUGACGUUUCGACGUUACCGAUGUUGCAGGGAAGAUGACCGAACUUGAUUAUUU
rnacentral:rRNA from 1 species